CGCUGGCGGCGUGCCUAAUACAUGCAAGUCGAACGGUCUUUCUAUGGAAGCUUGCUUCCACUGAGAAGAUAGUGGCGGAACGGGUGAGUAACACGUGGGUAACCUGCCCAUAAGAGGGGGGAUAACAUCCGGAAACGGGUGCUAAUACCGCAUAGUUUUCUUGAUCGCAUGAUCGGGAAAGGAAAGACGGCCUUUGUGCUGUCGCUUAUGGAUGGACCCGCGGCGUAUUAGUUAGUUGGUGAGGUAACGGCUCACCAAGACGAUGAUACGUAGCCGACCUGAGAGGGUGAUCGGCCACAUUGGGACUGAGACACGGCCCAAACUCCUACGGGAGGCAGCAGUAGGGAAUCUUCCGCAAUGGACGAAAGUCUGACGGAGCAACGCCGCGUGAGUGAAGAAGGUUUUCGGAAUCGUAAAACUCUGUUGUCAGAGAAGAACAAGUUGGAGAGUAACUGCUCCAGCCUUGACGGUAUCUGACCAGAAAGCCACGGCUAACUACGUGCCAGCAGCUGC
rnacentral:rRNA from 1 species